AUACCUUUUUCGGCCUUUUGGCUAAGAUCAAGUGCAGUAUCUGUUUUUAUCAGUUUAAUAUUUGAUAUGUGGGCCAUGUGCCCAUAAUGAUAUUAAAUUUAUUUUUUGUGGAGGAGGGUAUAUCACAGUGGCUUGCCACUGGGGGGGCCCUUGGGUGUCGCCUGGGCGUUGCACUACAGCCCAGGCAGGCGCACCCCAA
rnacentral:snRNA from 2 species